UACGGGGGGGGGCAAGCGUUGUUCGGAAUUACUAGGCGUAAAGGGCUCGUAGGUGGCCAACUAAGUCAGACGUGAAAUCCCCAGGCUCAACUUGGGAACUGCGUCUGAUACUGGAUGGCUUGAAUUCGGGAGAGGGAUGCAGAAUUCCAGGUGUAGCGGUGAAAUGCGUAGAUAUCUGGAGGAACACCGGUGGCGAAAGCGACUCACUGGACCGACACUGACGCUGAGGUGCGAAAGCUAGGGUAGCAAACGGG
rnacentral:rRNA from 1 species